GUGGGGGCUUCACAGCUCACACACUCCUCACACCCUCCGGCCCGGCACGUCCGGGCCUU
rnacentral:sRNA from 1 species